rnacentral:rRNA from 1 species
GAAACUCGUGCUAAUACCGCAUACGUCCUACGGGAGAAAGUGGGGGAUCUUCGGACCUCACGCUAUUGGAUGAGCCCAAGUCGGAUUAGCUUGUUGGUGGGGUAAAGGCCUACCAAGGCGACGAUCCGUAGCUGGUCUGAGAGGACGAUCAGCCACACUGGGACUGAGACACGGCCCAGACUCCUACGGGAGGCAGCAGUGGGGAAUAUUGGACAAUGGGGGCAACCCUGAUCCAGCAAUGCCGCGUGUGUGAAGAAGGCCUGCGGGUUGUAAAGCACUUUCAGUAGAGAAGAAAAGCUUAGGGUUAAUAGCUCUGAGUCUUGACGUAACCUACAGAAGAAGCACCGGCUAACUCCGUGCCAGCAGCCGCGGUAAUACGGGGGGUGCAAGCGUUAAUCGGAAUUACUGGGCGUAAAGCGCGCGUAGGCGGCUUGGUCAGUUGGAUGUGAAAGCCCCGGGCUUAACCUGGGAAUUGCAUUCGAUACUGCC